UCUCCAGUAACUCAGGGGCACAUGGUUCACUAGCACAUGGUAUUUCUACGGCAAAAGAAAUGCUGAGGUAACAGCGUGACGCUGCCAGGUCCGGACCCCACAAGAUGGUGAGGGGCCUGGACAAAUUCCAAAUGGUGUUUGGAAUUCGGGAAGGGGACGACACGAGAUGGGUAUUCCAGAAUGACAUUGUUUGUCAUUGUUCCAUUGUUCAUCUACAUUAUGAGACACAAUUGCACUGUUCUCUUCAGAGUUCCCACUUCAGUGACUCAGGCCUUCAGAGCGAGUAGGACAUGGAAUGCUCACUUCUGAAAGGAAUUGCUGAGGAAUUAACUUUUGCUUAUUAAAAUGAUGGAAGGUAAAUAGAGCACACAGGAAAAACAAAGUAAGUACUAAUUAAAACUAAAUUUCCAAGAAAAUACUUCCUUUGAAACAUUUUGAUUAGAGAAUGAAAAAAAAUAAAAUAAAAAACACACACACACACAUAGAAUAUUUCUUAACAAAUU